rnacentral:rRNA from 1 species
UAUUAUACUAAUUAAUAUAAAAAAUUUUAGAUUAUUAAUAGAUAUGUUCUUUAAAUUUGAAGAAUUUGGCGGUGGUUUAGUCUUGUUAGAGGAGCCUGUUUUUGAAUCGAUACACCACGCAUGAUCUUACUCAUUUUAUUUAGUUUGUAUACCGUCAUUAUCAGACAAUCUUUUAAAGGUAAAUUGUUGGAGUUUAAAAAGUGUAAACUAAAUUAGAUCAAGGUGCAGCUUAUAAGUGAGUUAAAAUGGGCUACAAUAAAAUUUAUUUAUUAUGGAGUAAUAGUGAGAAAUUGAAUUAUAAAGGUGGAUUUAAUUGUAAUAAGAGUUUAAUAAGCUAAAAAGAUAUAAGCUCUAAAUCAU